rnacentral:rRNA from 1 species
GUCCAGACUCCUACGGGAGGCAGCAGUGGGGAAUAUUGCACAAUGGGCGAAAGCCUGAUGCAGCAACGCCGCGUGAGUGAUGAAGGCCUUCGGGUCGUAAAACUCUGUCCUCAAGGAAGAUAAUGACGGUACUUGAGGAGGAAGCCCCGGCUAACUACGUGCCAGCAGCCGCGGUAAUACGUAGGGGGCUAGCGUUGUUCGGAAUUACUGGGCGUAAAGGGAGUGUAGGCGGUUUAGUAAGAUAGUGGUGAAAUCCCAGGGCUUAACUUUGGAAUUGCCAUUAUAACUAUUAGACUAGAAUUACAGAGAGGAUAGUGGAAUACCCAGUGUAGAGGUGAAAUUCGUAGAUAUUGGGUAGAACACCAGUGGCGAAGGCGACUAUCUGGCUGUACAUUGACGCUGAGGCUCGAAAGCAUGGGGAUCAAACAGGAUUAGAUACCCGCGUAAA